rnacentral:lncRNA from 10 species
AAAAAAAGGGCUGAAUUCUGAAAUUUUGGCCUCAUUUUGAGAGUUGUCUCUUCUACCAAACUUCAUUUGUGCAGACUGCAUUAAGUAGGGUCCAAAGUCCUUAGACUCCAGAUCCUAAAACCUGCCUUCCAUCCCAGACUUGGAAUGGCAUUUCUGAUAAGGGAGAGACCAAUGUAGUUCAUACUGCAGGUGAAUUUCUUUGACCAUUGUGAGUUCCUGGAACUCACGGACAAAGGAGCUGGCCCUCAUAGGUGAUAGCCGUUUAACAAAUCACCUAGAUCUUUUUUUUUGUUUUGUUUUGUUUUUGGAGACAGAGUCUCAUUGCUCUG